AUUACACGGAGAGGAAUUAUGGAAAGAUACAACUUUGAGGUUUGGACGUCACUCUACAGAUGAACCCUCUAUCCUGACACCUCUGGAGCAGUGCUGCAGGAUCCGUCACUCUACCCUCCUGUGUCUGUCUGCGUCUCCUCUCCCUGCCCCAGUACAGUCUGAUGUCAUGAGGGACUUUUUCAUGAUCCUCUAUUCCCGUGGCCCCUCUCCACCCUGGACCAUCGCCUAGCAACCGUGCUCAGAACCUUUGAGCCGUUGCCAGGAUCAACAGUGUAGCCUCCAUGGACGAGGCGAGGAUUAUGUCACUCAUUAUAAGACCUUGGUUACACCUGUGACACAUGCAGGGUAGUCUCUUAGAAAACAGGAUUCCAAAUGGGUUCUUCAGCUGUCCCCAUAGGAGAACUCUUUUGGGUUCCAGUUGUGUUAAGGUAGGGAUGGUAUACAGAACAUAGCUCUAUUUGCAAGUCCAUAUUAUGGCAAGAACAGCUCAAAUAAGCAAAGAGAAAUGACAGUCCAUCAUUACUUUAAGACAUGAAGGUCAGUCAAAAUGUCAAGAACUAUUAAAGUUUCUGCAGGUGCAGUCGCAAAAACUAUCAAGCACUAUGAUGAAACUGGCUCACAUCAGG